UACCGAUGCUCUCGCGAUGCGACGCCAU
rnacentral:sRNA from 1 species